rnacentral:lncRNA from 1 species
AAGGUUGAUUGGUCAAGAAUUUAUAGCCUACAUGUGCAAAGUCCAAGUUUAAUAAAAAAGGGAAAUAACAAUGGUUUCAAACCCGUACCAAACCGACAACCCGACUAGUCCGAUACAAAGAGGUAUGAAAUAAUCCGCAUUUUUACUGCUUUUCCGGUCAACCACGGUAUGACUGACUGAUCUAACCAAACCGCAGUUUGGUUAUCAAAACAAAAAAUGGCGUCUUUUGCUCGGAAAUUUCGGUUUUCAAAUUCGUAGUCGAGUCGACGGGGUCUUAGGGUUUCUGACAGCCAUUCGAUUGAAGGGCGUCCCUGGCGUCCUAUUCCUCUCCGCGGCCGGCCAACCUCUGAGCUCCUUCAUCUUCUUCUUCACAAUUAUCAAUGUCGUCGGAGAGAUUUGAGAUUUGAAAGGAAAGUCAACAGCUUUCAUCAUGAGAUUUGAGAUUUCAUAUAAGAGAUGCACCUGUCAUCUUUUUCCUUCUUUAGAUUGCAACUUCAAAUAAUUUAUUUGUUAGAUUUGAAGUUCAGAAGAAAAGAAAAGAAAGAGAAAGGUAGGCGACGACUGAGGAGAGGAAAACUCAAAAGAGUUUAUAG